CCUACGGGAGGCAGCAGUGGGGGAUAUUGCACAAUGGAGGAAACUCUGAUGCAGCGACGCCGCGUGAGGGAAGACGGUCUUCGGAUUUUAAACCUCUGUCUUUGGGGAAGAAAAUGACGGUACCCACAGAGGAAGCUCCGGCUAACUACGUGCCAGCAGCCGCGGUAAUACGGAGGGAGCGAGCGUUGUCCGGAAUUACUGGGUGUAAAGGGAGCGUAGGCGGGCGAGAAAGUUGAAUGUUAAAUCUACCGGCUUAACUGGUAGCUGCGUUCGAAACUUGUUGUCUUGAGUGUAGUAGAGGCAGGCGGAAUUCCUAGUGUAGCGGUGAAAUGCGUAGAUAUUAGGAGGAACACCAGUGGCGAAGGCGGCCUGCUGGGCUUUAACUGACGCUGAGGCUCGAAAGCGUGGGGAGCAAACAGGAUUAGAUACCCCGGUAGUC
rnacentral:rRNA from 1 species